UGCGGGCCCGCAGGCCGCGGCCUGGUGGGGCCCGGCCGCGCUCGCCCCUCCCCGGGCCCCAGCGAGCGGUAGUGGGAGGGCGGCGGGCUCGGACCGCAGCACAUCGUUCAAAAGAAACCAAGCGUCGAGAGACAACGAAAUGGAGGAAAAAUGGCCGAGUGCCGGCCGGCUGCGAAAGGCCGGUGGAGGACGCGAGGCCCUGCCGAGCUGCGGAGCGGCUGCUGCCCUGAUCCGCAGAGAUCCGGAGCCGUCGCUGCCAAACACGUCCCUGCUCCUGGGGGAAAGCAAGAUGGGGCCGGAGGAUGGCUGCUUUCCCUGCAGUGCCCCUCCAUCUUACAGAUUUCGGAGCAGUCAGGGCUUCCCCUCGUAGUAAAGAAAUCUAAGUUUGCGUUGCGCUGAUGGAUAAAAUAUUUAAGCUCAAGAUGCCGCUUCUCCCCUCACUCCAUGUUACCUGCCCACCAUCACCAGGCUCCCUGCAGAAAUCCAGGGUGCAGUGGCUGUGUGUGGAACCUGCUUGGUGCAGAGUGGGAAUUUCACUAAACCAAAACCCAUACACAAAAAUAAAGCCUGGUCUGUCCUAUUAAAAAAAAAUAAAAAAAUAAAAAAAAUGCACAUACAGGAUUAGUAAGAGCAGAUGCAACUUGAAAACCAAGAGCUAAAUUGAUUUAUAGCCAUGGUUACUCGAAAUGCUCAGAGUUUAAUCUAUUCAUAGAAAUGCUCUAGAAAUCCCACAGGAUUCCAAUGGAAUAAAAAGGAGCAGUGCUCUUAGGCAGGCAUUAUUUAUACACCUUGCUCCUAAAGCAACAGCUUUCUCAUGCAGUUGGAAGAGUUGUGGGUGGCAGCACACAAUGGUAAAAGGAUAACAAAUAUUGAACAGCUUUCUUAAAUUAGCAUUUUCCUUACAUUUUACCUUUUAAACUGAUUGUUUUGUUUUACCUCACAGGCCCAAGUAACCUUGUGGUUAACAUUUUAUGAGCUACAUGACAGAUCCUACCCAAAACGGGCUCAACAUGAAGAAUUUUACCAGCAAAAAACCUCUAAACAGAGCUGGUGAUUUAAGGAAAUUACAUUUUUAAAUCCUUUCAGUGAACUCACGAGACGCGUCACUGUUUCACAGCCACGGAACUGUGUGAGAACGACUGAGGAUUUCUGGAGCCUGAGAGACAUCAGCACCUGCAGAGCCAAAGGUUACCACUGGCACCAAUUUUGGGAGCAUUUACUCUGCCAUUCUGGAUGUCAAUGAUGUUGUGACAAAGAACAGCCAACAGUGGAUGUGAUGGUUUAGCUGGAGAAAAAUUCAGGAUUCAGUCAAGAAAGAAAGGAAACAAUUCCUGAUGGAGAAUCAUGUUCCCUUUUGCCUCUCCUGUCCACGAUCCAGGUUAGAGCUGCUCCUUUCCAGUACUGCUGUUUCCACCCAGAUGUGUGACUAGAUGUGCAGGCUGUAUUUGCAUGUGGAGAUGAAUGAGGCUGAUAAUAGCAGCACUUAGCAGGAAGUGCCGUGUGAUGUAACAUUUCCUUGAUCUAACCUGCUGUUCUUCUUGUGCUCCCUUCCCUCAGCUACCCAGGGUGAUCCUCAACAGCAUCCAGCGAGGAUGCCUGGGUACACAGGGACAGCAGCACGGGCACAGGGGUUUACUUUGAGCAAAAUCAGCUGCUGGGGAAGCUCAGGGAACUGAGCUUUUCCACACAAAUGUUUUCUCUUCCCUGAAGACUUCAGUUUUUCAGUGCCAUUAUCCCCACCCCUCUUCUCGGAGGGUAAAGCUCUGUGGACAGUGCUGUGAGCACGGGGAUCUCCGAACACUUGGAAGGAUAUUAAGAGAACAAAUCAGGUGCUGUGACACACAGGCAGCACUUCCCAGAGAGAUACGAUGUAGCUCGUCAGCAAAGCUGCUCUCAGUUCUGACUGAUGACACACCCCUGCCCCGACCAGAAUUGGUACCACAGCAAAACCAAGCCCCAAAUUCCAAACCAACCACGUGGGACAGCUGCUGUCACCUCUGCCUUUCCCCCCCACCCUGAUCUUCCCAUUGCCUCCAGCUCCCAAAUUCACAGCUCAGCUGUGAGCAGAGACCAGCUCCCAUCAGAUGCAGUUUUUGAUCUGCACAUGCAGUUUUAUUGCAAUUUCUUCCCAAUUCUCAGCCCUGCAGCUCAGUGCAGCCAGGGCAUGGAUGAUGGAUGUCCCUGCUGGGCCAUGCAUCCAGCUGCUUCUCCUGCAACCAAAAGGAGAUGAAGGAAAAUGCUGGUGUCCAGAGAGCUCUGGAGGGAGGCAUGGAAGUGCCAGAGCUUGUGCACCCAUAAUCAACACUUGAAUGACCCUUGCUCUCAAUUUCCACAGGCCUUGGACAUGACAAGGGCAUUUCCUUCCUCACCCAACAAAGCUCCAGGAUCAAUCUGACAAAGCCAUGGCUCUGCAGCAAUUGUUGGGACAGGGCUGCAAACUGGGAGACACCAACCCUGCCCAGCAAAGCGCCAGGAAAUCGUCAACCAGGCUCUUUACGCCUUUAGAUUGCACAUUUUUAGGAAAGGGAGGGGGGAACCCAGCCUGGCUCCUGCUAAGCAGCAGCAGCAGCACACAAAGCAAUCGUUAUGCCAAGAUUUAGCUGUUAAAUCCCUCAAGAUCUGGUGCUCACACAGCAUAAACAACCUUUGCCUCCCAGCCUGGCCGAGCCAUACCUCCAGGUUUCUCAGCACAGCCACACAGACCCUCCCAUACCCAUCCUCUCCCCAGCCCUUCGCUGAGGCUGCCGUGCCAACAAGAAAGCCAGUUGCCAUGGCAUUUUUUCCCCCUACAGACAGAUGUCCAUUAAAAACCAAGUCAGCCUCAGGUUUGCUUCACAGAACAGCUUUCAGUUAUUAUUACCAGCCCACAAGGAAUUUCCACUGUAGCCCUUCACCUCAGAUAUUUCAAUGCACUUCAGGAUUAAUCCCUGGGGAUUAGAAGGAAACUACUACAGAGCAGGCACAGGUACGUUCAAAGGACAAAUUUAGGAUUAUGAUUGUGGUUUAUGUUUUUGGCAGAUGACAACCACAUGACUGUGUUUGGAAAGGGUUGAAUUUGUUACCUCUGGUGCUCUUUCCCCUGUUCACUGUGCUAAAAUCAUCAGGAAAACUGGAAAUGAGACAUGAAACUUUCCCCUCCUCUGGGAUGUCUCACCUGGGGCUCAGAUCUGGGAUUUGGCUUCAGGAGGAACCUGCCUGUCCUGGACAGGGACAUCCAAGGCUCCAUCCAUGGAGAAGGGACUUCCAGCAACCACAUGGCUCAAGGAGCGAUGUCUUCUUCCUUGGCCACAUUUUUAUUUAAGAAUGGAAAAAGGGAUAAAUGGAUUCCAUACUCCCUCUUAGCCCAUCCUGGGGGCCAAGGCCCUGUUGGAAAAACAGAGAAGUUUCCCUUGGGAAAAACAGAGGAGCUUCCUACUGCAGUGCUGGCAGUGCAUCCCCAGCAUCUCUGCAGGGAUGGGUUUGGAGGGAACAGUCAGGUAUUUUUUUUGGACUCCAACAGUGCUGAAUGUGUGAGGAUUAGACACUGAAAUUUAACUGCACAGUGAAAUUAGUUUUCCUUACUUAGCACUGCAGUGCUAGAAAUCCUUGGUGAUUUCCAGGGAGGGAUCUCCCCUCUCACAUCUGGCUCUGAACCUGGCACGUCUUCCACACCGUUCCUUGUUUAAGUUGUGGCACUUGGGAAGCCUCAACCUUCUGAGAUUUUGGAGCCACCAUUGCAGAUCAGAGCCCUGCAUCCAGGCUGGCUCGCAGGGAGAUUUCCACUGGAGCCUGGAUCUUUGAGGGAGCCAAGUGCCACAAUUCCAUCUGCAGGAAUGACAGCUCCUCAUGGCUCUGGGAAACAGCAGGGUCUGAGCACACCCCGGCUGCAGGGUCUCGAGGGAACACUCCCUUCCAGGCUCUCAGUCACUUCCCAAGGCAAGACAUUUGGAUUUCUCCUCUCGGUUACAGCAAGCACAGCUGCAAAUAUGAUCAAAAAUAUCUAAUCCUCUUAACUGCUUCUGCAGUUUGACUCGAUUGCUGCAGAGGAAAAUGCUGUGAUUGCAGAGUGCUGCCUGCAUUCCCACGUAAGCCUCAGCUUUUACACCAUUGAUCAUUCCUCCACAUUGAUUCUUUGGAAGGAGGAGAAGGUGUUUGGCUCCUUGUGAUGAAGCUGAGGGAGUUUUUAAGGAAGGGUCAGAAACCAGGAGCUCCCAGAUCCCAGGGCAGCACCUGGCUCUUGGUGCUCCUUCACUGAACAAGCAGAAUCCAGCUGGGAUUUCUUCUUCACGGGAAGCCAGAGCACUUUUGGAAGCUCCCAAGGAGGAUUGCUUGGGAAAAGUCCUCUUUGCUCCUUGUGCAACCCCUACACUUGCAGAGGGAAACUCUUGGCACAGCUGUGCUUGGACAAGACCAUUUGGCUUCCCCUCCAUCAGCACGGGGCCUCCAGCUGCAGCAGCAUCCCUGUCUCCUGUGCAUAACUGGAUAAAUCCAGCUCACCCAUCUCGCUUGGCCACAUCUCCCACUCAGCCCCUCCAGCCCUCACAGGAGGUUUUCCAGCUGGGACUCCACACAGACCACGGAUUCCAGCCAACAGCACCAGGAGUUUCUCCAGCCUAAGUUAAUUCUUCUUGGGCUAAGAUUCCCAGGAGUGCAGAGGAAUUGUUCUGGGAGAUCUAGUCCUGGUAUAGAUGUUAUAAGGAUUUAUUGUGGGUUUGGUUUAGUUUUACAGAGCUCUGACAGAUCACGAAGCUGCUUUGGAACUUCACUCACACCUGUAAGUGGGGGGUCUCCCAGCACCCCAAAGAGGAGCCCACACAAGUGGGUUUCCUUCACCUGUUUAAACCCCUCUGCUGUACAUGGUAAGAGCCUCUUUUUCCCCAAGGAAUGUUCCACAUCAGUAGAGACUGAUAAAUAUCCCAAAUAACAUAAAAACGAGGGAAGAGGAGACUGGGAGGCAGAGGCCUGUAAAUUGUUGUCAAAAAUAUCAUCUUUGCAUCCAGAAGACCAAGGUACGUCCCACACUGACAUUGUUCUCCAAGGCCAUUGCCACCACACAGGGACACAGAAAACAAGCAAGAAACCAGCUCACUGCAGUCUGUCUCCAGGAAAAAUCAGCACAGCCCAGGAUCUCAGGCUGGGAAUAAAACAUGUGCUUAACACAGCUCAUCCUCACCCACUGCCUUCAGGCCCACAAACCCAGAGAACCUCUCCAACCACCAAAUCAGAACAUUACUGAACCUGCGAAGACCAAAAUCUCAGUUUCCUGGUGAGCUCAGAGCUUAGCUCCCAGCAGCAGCAGCAACAGCAGCAGCAACAGCAGCAAAACUUUCCAUGGCUUCCCAGCCUCAGCACAGCUCAGGAAACCCUCCCCAAAGAGCCCCCACCUACCCCAGCUCCAGCUCCAGCAAGGCAGCCACCCCCCAGGUGCAGCAGCUUUGGAGGAGCUGUUGGCCCUGAAGAAGCUUCAACAGGGCCCAAUUUCCUGGUGGGGAAGUAAACAUUGUUCUCCCGGA